UUGUACACCCUUGGUUCUGAUUGUCCUAAGCACGGGGUGGGGAACAUGUGGCUCUACAGAUGUUGCUUUCGAUAUUGUUGGACUGCAAUUUCCACCCCAAAGCAACCAACUGUCAUCUGUGCAUGUGCAACAGCUGUCUCAAGUGUACACACCUCAGUUUCACUGCAAAGUGAAUGUGGCUCAGGUUUGCAAAUGGGGUGGCAGCAAGAUAGGUAUGAAUUCUGGCCAAUGCCAUGUGUACACGGCUUCAAGCACCAGCAGUGGGAGUGUGCUGGAGCUACAGUAAAUGUGUACAAGAGCCUAAGGCUUUGAUGGGACUGUGAGUUCCUGUUGUUGCAGAGCAGCUGUAGAAGGGUGGACUGGACUGAGAAAAGUAUUAUCAUCUGCUUCAUUACCAGGGAUGUGAAGACAGAUGGUUAAUUGCAUCUUUUCUGUACAUAUAUAAAUAUGUGCUUUGACAUUAUGGUAAUGAGCUGUGUAAAUUAUGCCCAGGCGCAGUGCAGUAAUUAUUUCACAUCUUACUGUGCUGCCCACAACUUUUAACAGAGCUGUACAAUUUAUAAUGUUAAAUCUUCUUUGAUGGUAACUGAAUGUAUAAAACAAUGGAAGUUUAUUUUUGCCUUCCUCUUGUAUGUAUGUUUAAAGCCCCCCAAGAUCACUAUUAAAACAAUACUCUACAAGUUAUGUAAAAUACAUCAUGUGGGGCACAGUUACCUAGCCCCUGUGCUUGUAUUUAACAGGGCUUGCUCUGGGCUUAAAAUAUCAUCUAUUGCAUUGGUAUUUAAGCUUGUAUAGGCUGCUGCUCCAUAUUGGGAUUAUGCUGUUCAAAAGAAAUGUGAAGCCAGUGGGGUUGCACAAGUUCUAAUGAAGAUAUGAUUAUAUGGAAAAUGUAAUUAUUUGGUUCUCAUUUUUUUAUGGUACUGUUUGGCUCUCUGGAAAAUAACAUCUUCUAGCAGAAAUGUAUUUCCAUAAGGGAAAAAAAUCCAACUUGGCUAUUAAAGAAAGGCUCUUUAAAAGCUUGGUACAAUUUUGCCAAAAUGAACACUUCUUUCAUUUGAAUCCAGUGUAAUAAUACAGCUACAUCAAGCAGGUGUACUUAUUUCCUAUCCUUUUGUCUCAGUGACAAAAAUCAUGUUCACAACAACAGCCAUAAUCUGUAUUACGUCUAGAUUUUGUAGCAUUUGUGCCAGGUCACCAGAUCAAGACUCAUUACAUGGUCCAAGCUCUCACACUGGUAUAUUGAGUUUUUAAAAAACACUCCUAUCUAGCAAGGGAGCUGCUACAGAUCUAUUUUUGAAUUGGGAAAUGCAUGUAUAUAGUUUUCCUAGAUGGAUUUCAGGCACCGUGGCUAUCAAAGCUUGGAGGCAGAAGUCCAAGGUCCCACUCAGGAAAGUCAGUAGGAGAUCGCCCAAACUGACCUAGCACUUUUUGAAUUACCUCAGUAAUGCACAAGACCAACUAAAGCAGAGGUGGGAAGACUUUGGCCCUCCAGAUGUUGUCAAUGGCUGUCUCAUCCCUGGCUAUUUGCUAUGGUGGCUGAGUCUGAUGGCAGCUGGAGUCAAACAACAUCUGGAGGACCAAAGAUGAGCUAACCCCUAGUUAAUAUGAUGGGUUGCUGGUAUAUGGGAACUCCUGUGUGCCCCACAAAUCUGCUCUGAGGACAUGCAAGUGGCUGGAUGGGGGAGAAGACAAGCUGGAAGUCUCCUGCACACAUGGAUUUCUGUUGAACAAGCGAACAGACAUCAUUGGAUGUCACCCAUUGUCUGUUGAAUAGACUUGAUUUACAUUUGCAGCAAGGAAUGUAAUAUUAGGCCAGCAAAAUCUUAACACUUUUUCCUGAGAAGGUUUUAUUCAGAUGAAACCCAAUCAAGUCAUUAUGUAAGUAGUCAGUUGGAUAUAUUUCACUAAAUGUUUUAUAUAAAUUAUAAAAUAUUAAGAGAACUUUGCAAAAUUAUUGCUUACCUCUACAAAAAUGGAAAAGAUUGCUUUAUGCAUAUUGCCAAUUUUUCCAUAAAUUAAUGUCAUGAAUGCUGA